rnacentral:rRNA from 1 species
GAUGAACGCUGGCGGCGUGCCUAAUACAUGCAAGUCGAGCGAACGGACGAGAAGCUUGCUUCUCUGCUGUUAGCGGCGGACGGGUGAGUAACACGUGGAUACCCUACCUAUAAGACUGGGAUAACUUCGGGAAACCGGAGCUAAUACCGGAUAUUAUUUUGAACCGCAUGGUUCAACAGUGAAAGCCGGUCUUGCUGUCACUUAUACAUGGAUCCGCGCUGCAUUAGCUAGUUGGUAAGGUAACGGCUUACCAAGGCAACGAUGCAUAGCCGACCUGAGAGGGUGAUCAGCCACACUGGAACUGAGACACGGUCCAGACUCCUACGGGAGGCAGCAGUAGGGAAUCUUCCGCAAUGGGCGAAAGCCUGACGGAGCAACGCCGCGUGAGUGAUGAAGGUCUUCGGAUCGUAAAACUCUGUUAUUAGGGAAGAACAGAUGUGUAAGUAACUGUGCACAUCUUGACGGUACCUAAUCAGAAAGCCACGGCUAACUACGUG